GAUUAUGAAGUAAACGGUUUACACUUAAAUUGCAAAUUUAAAGUUUGAGGUUCGACUCCUCCGUAAUCU
rnacentral:tRNA from 1 species